GACGAACGCUGGCGGCGUGCUUAACACAUGCAAGUCGAACGGAAAGGCCCUGCUUUUGUGGGGUGCUCGAGUGGCGAACGGGUGAGUAACACGUGAGUAACCUGCCCUUGACUUUGGGAUAACUUCAGGAAACUGGGGCUAAUACCGGAUAGGAGCUCCUGCUGCAUGGUGGGGGUUGGAAAGUUUCGGCGGUUGGGGAUGGACUCGCGGCUUAUCAGCUUGUUGGUGGGGUAGUGGCUUACCAAGGCUUUGACGGGUAGCCGGCCUGAGAGGGUGACCGGCCAAAUUGGGACUGAGAUACGGCCCAGACUCCUACGGGAGGCAGUAGUGGGGAAUAUUGCACAAUGGGCGGAAGCCUGAUGCAGCAACGCCGCGUGCGGGAUGACGGCCUUCGGGUUGUAAACCGCUUUCGCCUGUGACGAAGCGUGAGUGACGGUAAUGGGUAAAGAAGCACCGGCUAACUACGUG
rnacentral:rRNA from 1 species